rnacentral:rRNA from 1 species
UAGGGAAUUUUCCGCAAUGGGCUAAAGCCUGACGGAGCAAUACCGCGUGAGGGAUGAAUGCCUAUGGGUUGUAAACCUCUUUUUUCAGGGAGGAAAACAAUUGACGUGUACCUGAAGAAUAAGCAUCGGCUAACUCCGUGCCAGCAGCCGCGGUAAGACGGAGGAUGCAAGUGUUAUCCGGAAUCACUGGGCGUAAAGCGUCCGUAGGUGGUUUAAUAAGUCAACUGUUAAAUCUUGAGGCUUAACCUCAAAAUCGCAGUCGAAACUAUUAGACUCGAGUAUAGUAGGGGUAAAGGGAAUUUCCAGUGGAGCGGUGAAAUGCGUAGAUAUUGGAAAGAACACCGAUGGCGAAAGCACUUUACUGGGCUAUUACUGACACUCAGAGACGAAAGCUAGGGUAGCAAAUGGGAUUAGAUACCCCAGUAGUCCUAGCUGUAAACUAUGGAUACUAGAUGUUGAGCAGAUCGAACCUGUGCAGUAUCAAAGGCUAAACGCGUU